UUACCUGGUCUUGACAUCCCGGAGACCCUUAGGAAACUAGGGGUGCUUCCAUCUGGAAGAAUCUGGAGACAGGUGCUGCAUGGCUGUCGUCAGCUCGUGUCGUGAGAUGUUGGGUUAAGUCCCGCAACGAGCGCAACCCUUGCCUUUAGUUGCCAGCAGUUCGGCUGGGCACUCUAAAGGGACUGCCGGUGUUAAACCGGAGGAAGUGGGGAUGACGUCAAGUCCUCAUGGCCUUUAUGACCAGGGCUACACACGUACUACAAUGGCCGAUACAAAGGGCAGCGACACUGCGAGGUGAAGCCAAUCCCGUAAAAUCGGUCUCAGUCCGGAUUGGAGUCUGCAACUCGACUCCAUGAAGUUGGAAUCGCUAGUAAUCGUGGAUCAGCAUGCCACGGUGAAUACGUUCCCGGGCCUU
rnacentral:rRNA from 1 species